rnacentral:lncRNA from 1 species
CAGCACUGGGCCACUGUCACACUGCACCUGCCUUUCAGAACCACAAACUCAAGAGUGGAAAGAGCCAGAAAUGAAGAUGGAGAGAAAUAAUUGUAGAAAUGAAGAAUAAAUGAGAAACAAGGAAAUCUAAGAGGAGAAAAGACCAAAACAGAAUUAAUUUUUCCACUACUCCAUAUUGAAAAGGACUUGCAUAAUAACUACAAUAAAACAUGUUAUAAAUGGUCAGUAUAGACUUGCUCAGGCAUUUGAACUUGUUCUGGAAGAAGCUGUUUUCCUUCCUCUCAAAUGCCAAAUUCUUGGAGGGCUGGCUUCCCUUUAUUCCCAGAAAAUCAACAUUGCUUCAUCCUUCAAACACUGGAGUUUAAAAUUCUCCAAGCUAAGAUGCUUUAUAUUAAAGAAGGGAAAAUCCACCAAAGAAAAGCAGAUCUGUGUGACCACAGGGCUACUGGCUCCUUUACAGGAAGUGAUUACACUGGACAGUCUGGAUAACCUCAGCUGAAAAAGAAGCUGCAUAGCCAAAUCCUCUUUUAAACAAACAGAAGACCGCAAAUAGAUACUGUGGUGCUCAUCAGACUAAUUUGGUAAGUUUAUUCCGUCAUGCCCAGUUUGUCACUUAGAGAACAUAGUCUCUGCCAAGCAAAAAGAGAGGAAGAAAGGAAGGAAGAAUGAAAAGGAGGAGAAGGAAGAGGAGGAAGAGAGAAGGAAAGGAGGAGGAGAAGGGGAAGUGGAAAAGAGGAGAGGAGGAGGAAGAAGAAUUGGCACAUCUUCAAUAAGGCGUCAGAUUAAGUCACCAAAGAUGACCUUCUGGCCCUAAGGAGGUCGUUAGCAAUUGAUCUCACAAUGUACACGGUAUCCAACAAGGAUGCAAAUUAUAAUUAUCCACCAAAGACACUCACUCUAAAUGAUUUCCUGACAUUUCCAAACAUUAGAGAAGGAAUAUAUCUUCCCUUUGGGAUUCACAUCAGUGUUCAGUCUAAUUUCUUUCUAAACUCCAGAUAGAAAUAUUCCAAAGAAGGAAAUAAGAAAAGCCAUAACUCUAACAAGUGGUUUAUGUUUUUGAAAUAGAGAUGUUUUGUUAAGCUAUUUUAUGAAAAGCAGAGACUUUCACAGUUUUCUUGUUUCUAUCUCCAUAGAACAAUAGAACAGGUGGGAAGAGUGCAUAGGCCGGCAUUCUGCCCAGUAAGUUCAGAAGCCCCAGGAAGACUUUUUUUUUUCAGGGUCACAGGUAUAGCAUAUGGAAGUUCCCAGGCUAGGAGUAGAAUCAGAGCUGUUGCUGCUGGCCUACGCCACAGCCAGAGCAACACCAGAUCCGAGCCUCGUCUGUGACCUACACGGCAGCUCAUGGCAAUACUGGAUCCUUAACCCACUGAGCGGGGCCAGGGAUGGAACCCAUAUCCUCAUGGAUACUAGUUGGCUUCGUUUCCACUGAGCCACAAUGGGAACUCCAAGACUUUCUUAUACAGGUUUCCCCCGCUACCCAAAAUCAGAG